rnacentral:misc_RNA from 1 species
UUCCGGAGAGAUAUUUGCAAGAGCUUUUGUCUCAAUGAGCUUAUGUUUUUUAGUACUAGGAGGUUCCUUUGAUCCUAUUAUAUCCCUUACCCUGUCAGUAACAUCAUCCCUGACCUUAGUACAUGGAUUCACACCUUUACUGGGAAGUCUGGAUAAGUGGUGUUUUAACCUACUAAUGCCACCAUUAAGAAUUCUAAGACAGAAUUUACACCUCACUUUAUUCCCGUCUAACUUCGCAGCAUAUUUCUCAACAAGGG